CAGCAGCCGCGGGAAUACGUAGGUGGCAAGCGUUGUCCGGAAUUAUUGGGCGUAAAGGGCUCGCAGGCGGUUUCUUAAGUCUGAUGUGAAAUGCCAAGGCUCAACCUUGGAACUGCCUUUGAUACUGGAGAUCUUGAGUCCGGGAGAGGUGAGUGGAAUUGCGAGUGUAGAGGUGAAAUUCGUAGAUAUUCGCAAGAACACCAGUGGCGAAGGCGGCUCACUGGCCCGGAACUGACGCUGAGACGCGAAAGCGUGGGGAGCAAACAGGAUUAGAGACCCGCGUAGUCCCUGUCUCUUAUAC
rnacentral:rRNA from 1 species